rnacentral:rRNA from 1 species
AACGCGAAGAACCUUACCAGCCCUUGACAUGUCCCGUAUGGGGCGGGGAGACCCGUUCCUUCAGUUCGGCUGGCGGGAACACAGGUGCUGCAUGGCUGUCGUCAGCUCGUGUCGUGAGAUGUUGGGUUAAGUCCCGCAACGAGCGCAACCCUCAUCCUCAGUUGCCAUCAGGUAAGGCUGGGCACUCUGGGGAAACUGCCGGUGACAAGCCGGAGGAAGGCGGGGAUGACGUCAAGUCCUCAUGGCCCUUAUGGGCUGGGCUACACACGUGCUACAAUGGCGGUGACAGAGGGGUGCAAGGGGGCGACCCCGCGCCGAUCUCAAAAAGCCGUCUCAGUUCGGAUUGCUCUCUGCAACUCGAGAGCAUGAAGUCGGAAUCGCUAGUAAUCGCGGAUCAGCAUGCCGCGGUGAAUACGGUUCCCGGGCCUUGUACACACCGACAUA